rnacentral:rRNA from 1 species
GACAGAGGCCCCAAGCGUUAGGCGGAAUCACUGGGCUUAAAGCGUGUGUAGGCGGAUCGUUAAGUGUCUUGUGAAAUCCCACGGCUCACCCGUGGAACUGCUGGGCAUACUGGCGAUCUUGGGCCAACUAGGGGCAGCCGGAACAAGCGGUGGAGCGGUGAAAUGCGUAGAUAUCAUUUGGAACGCCAAUGGUGAAAACAGGUAGCUGGGGUUGUGCUGACGCUGGAGACACGAAAGCCAGGGGAGCGAACGGG